rfam:Pseudomonas fluorescens ABAC62 scaffold266_001, whole genome shotgun sequence.
GGCGCGGGACUUGCUAAACAAUCCUUACAGGUAACCAACGGCGGUUGCCCCUCCACGACAAAGACGUCGC